UUUAACAUUUCUCAAUUUGUCUUUAAUGCACCAAACUAUCUGCUGCACAUACAGUGCAUAAUUAAUUGCAAAAUCAUAAACCAUUUGUAUUUCCUCUCUUCUCAUUUAUUGAAAUAAUUUAUUUCCAACUCUUUUUUAUGCAGCAUCUCUCCAUUUUUCUCUCUACUAUAAUUCAAACCUCUCUCUCUCUCUCUCAGGUUAUAGUUAGAUCUAACGCUAUGAAGAAGGAAAAGGUUAUCAAAACAACUUCAAUAAUAUAGAUAAAAAUUCGUGAUCUACUAUUUAUGCUCUUGAGAUUUAGGGUUUCUUCAAUUGGAUGUAUGAUUUAAGUGUCUCAUUUUACUGUUUCCUCAUUAAGUUGCAGAUUUGAAGAAAAGUUGAUUUGGAGAAAAGUAUGUAUGGAGAAAAGAGAUCUGGAAAAAAUAAAUCUAUUCUUUCCUUUCUAACUUUAUUUUUACUCUCAUCUAUCUUUUUUAGUUUUUUUAUACAUUAUAUUGUUUGUUAUUACCUACCUAUUGCUAAAAUUAUUAACAGCGAGGAUGAUGUAUAAAGGAUUAACAUUGAGGAUGAUGUGUUUUAGGUUUUGAGUAUCUUAACCUUAGUCUUAGAACAUACAUGGUCGAUCUGUUUUCACAUAUACCUGAGCGAUAUGUUUUCACCUUCAUUGUUAACAGGAAUUUCUAAUAUAUUUUCAAGGUAUGUGUUCCUUUAAGUUUCUGGUUCCACUCUUUCUUCUUAAUUUGAUUUGUAUGUUUAAAAAAAUUUGUUUGGAACAAUAAAUCAUUGUUUUCCUUAUUUUCUCUUUUAAAUAAGACUCAAAUCACAAUAGUUAUUUUUAUAGAUUUUCCUUUCUGCAUCAAUACAUUGGAAAUAGACAUCAUUACAAAUUUGAAAUUCCAAUCUCUUUCACUUCUCUCUUCCACCUUUUUUUUGUCAUUUUUUCUUGUCUAUUCUUCUCAUCUUCAACUACUAUAUUUUCUCUGUAUUUUCUUUUUUUUGCUUUUACUUCAUGUAUUUUUUUCUUAUAGUGUCAUUAAACAUAUAUUUUAUUUUGAAACAUUUGAUGUUGUUUUAAAGAGAAUGAACUAUAGGUUACAUAUGUUACAAGAAUCGUGUUGCUAACUCUGAAUUUUGAAAAAUAUAUUUUGUAAAUUGUAUUGCUCUCUGUUACAAGAAUUGUAGGUAGUAGAAAGAACAACAUGUAUAGUUUCUACAACAACAUACUUUGUAAAUUCAUGUUCUUGAUUAUCCAUGUAUAGUUUCUACAACAACAUACUUUCUAAAUUCAUGUUCUUGAUUACCUAUAUUAUAAAAAUAAUGGUUUCAUCAUCUUUAUUGAAACUACAACAGUUAAGACUUGUGGUGCACAUUUUUAUUGUGAUUAUGUAUUAUUAAAAUUUACAAUAGUUUUGAUAUGUACUAUUAAAACUACUCAGACUUGUGGUGUACAUUUACUGAAAUAUUUCUAAUAAGUACUAUAAUAGUAAAUAAAAAUAGUAUUUAAAACAAAAAAAAAAAAUAGUAAAUAAUAAUUACUUUGAACAAUUUAUAAAUUAUAAAACGAUAAAAAUUGUAUAUAUAAUUUAAACUUUAAAUACAAUUUUGUUCCAUUUAAUUUAAUUAGAAUAAAAAAAUUUGUCCAAUAAUUUUUUGAAUUUACUUUUUAAACUUCCUAUUAAAAGAAAAUUGGUAUUUCUUUUUUAUGUAGGCAUAAUAAUACUAUUAUAUUUUUUCCUUCUAAUUUUUAAUAUUCUCAUUUUUUAAUUAUAGUUCAUUCACUAAAGUAAAAGAGAUUAAAAAAUGUAAACAUUCAUAAUUUUUUCUGGUUUUAACAUGUGAAGAAAUAUUUACAAUGUGAAUAGUAAUUUUUUGCAUUAAUAAUUGCUCAUAAUGGAAUGAAUGUCUACCAAAUUAAAUAUAAAUAUAUAAUAGCAAUAAUAUGAAAUAAUAACAUUACAUUCGGUGUAGGUCUUUUAAAUUUCAUUUAUUAUUAUUAAUUUCUUAUUUAUGC